AAGGAUUCCCCUAGUAACGGCGAGUGAAGCGGGAAGAGCUCAAAUUUGAAAUCUGGUGGCCUCAGGUCAUCCGAGUUGUAAUCUAUAGAAGUGUUUUCCGUGCUGGCUCAUGUACAAGUCCCUUGGAACAGGGCGUCAUAGAGGGUGAGAAUCCCGUCCUUGACAUGAACUACCAGUGCUCUGUGAUACAUUUUCAACGAGUCGAGUUGUUUGGGAAUGCAGCUCAAAAUGGGUGGUAAAUUCCAUCUAAAGCUAAAUAUUGGCGAGAGACCGAUAGCGAACAAGUACCGUGAGGGAAAGAUGAAAAGCACUUUGGAAAGAGAGUUAAACAGUAUGUGAAAUUGUUGAAAGGGAAACGAUUGAAGUCAGUCGUGCUCUUUGGAUUCAGCCGGUUCUGCCGGUGUACUUCCUUUGAGUGGGGUCAACAUCAGUUUUGAUCGCUGGAUAAAGGCAGGAGGAACGUAGUACCCUCGGGUAAACUUAUAGCCUCUUGUCACAUACAGUGGUUGGGACUGAGGAACGCAGCACGCCUUUAUGGCCGGGAUUCGUCCACGUACGUGCUUAGGAUGUUGACAUAAUGGCUUU
rnacentral:rRNA from 1 species